GUCCCUACGGGAGGCAGCAGUAGGGAAUCUUCCACAAUGGACGAAAGUCUGAUGGAGCAACGCCGCGUGAGUGAAGAAGGGUUUCGGCUCGUAAAACUCUGUUGGUAGUGAAGAAAGAUAGAGGUAGUAACUGGCCUUUAUUUGACGGUAAUUACUUAGAAAGUCACGGCUAACUACGUGCCAGCAGCCGCGGUAAUACGUAGGUGGCAAGCGUUGUCCGGAUUUAUUGGGCGUAAAGGGUGCGUAGGCGGCCUGCUAAGUCUGGAGUGAAAGGUACCGGCUCAACCGGUACA
rnacentral:rRNA from 1 species